GGGCCCGCACAAGCGGUGGAGCAUGUGGUUUAAUUCGAAGCAACGCGCAGAACCUUACCCAGGCUUGACAUCCUCAGAACCUCUUGGAAACAAGAGGGUGCCCUCUCACGAGGGAAUUGAGUGACAGGUGCUGCAUGGCUGUCGUCAGCUCGUGCUGUGAGGUGUUCGGUUAAGUCCGGCAACGAGCGCAACCCCUGUCGCUAGUUACCAGCAUUUAGUUGGGCACUCUAGAGAGACUGCCGGUGAUAAACCGGAGGAAGGUGUGGAUGACGUCAAGUCAUCAUGCCCCUUACAUCCUGGGCUACACACGUACUACAAUGCUACGGACAAAGGGCAGCAAGUUCGCGAGGAC
rnacentral:rRNA from 1 species